AGUGGUGGUUCAGUGUUAGAAUUCUCACCUUUCAUGUGGGAGACCUGGGUUUGAUUCCCAGCCAACCUA
rnacentral:tRNA from 1 species